rnacentral:rRNA from 1 species
GUAGGGAAUAUUGGGCAAUGGUCGGAAGACUGACCCAGCCAUGUCGCGUGCAGGAAGACGGCCCUCUGGGUUGUAAACUGCUUUUAUCUGGGAAGAAAAAGGCCAUGCGUGGCAAAUUGCCGGUACCAGAUGAAUAAGCACCGGCUAACUCCGUGCCAGCAGCCGCGGUAAUACGGAGGGUGCGAGCGUUGUCCGGAUUUAUUGGGUUUAAAGGGUGCGUAGGCGGCUGAUUAAGUCAGCGGUGAAAGACUUCGGCUUAACCGGAGCAGUGCCGUUGAUACUGGUUGGCUUGAGUGUCGGAGGGGUACAUGGAAUUGAUGGUGUAGCGGUGAAAUGCAUAGAUACCAUCAGGAACACCGAUAGCGAAGGCAUUGUACUGGCCGACAACUGACGCUGAUGCACGAAAGUGUGGGGAUCGAACAGGAUUAGAUACCCGUGUAGUCC